rnacentral:rRNA from 1 species
ACGGGGGGGGCAAGCGUUGUUCGGAAUUACUGGGCGUAAAGGGCUCGUAGGCGGCCAACUAAGUCAGACGUGAAAUCCCCAGGCUCAACUUGGGAACUGCGUCUGAUACUGGAUGGCUUGAAUUCGGGAGAGGGAUGCAGAAUUCCAGGUGUAGCGGUGAAAUGCGUAGAUAUCUGGAGGAAUACCGGUGGCGAAGGCGGCAUCCUGGACGACACCUGACGCUGAGGCACGAAAGCUGGGGGAGCGAACAGGA